AGACUUGUGUCUCUUUAUAACGCCGCUUCUCUUCAAACAUUGUCUUCACACUCGGAAAAAACAUGUCAACCACGGCGGUUAAACCCUCCGCCCUAAAAAGAUUCGGAACCCAUCACGACCACAAUAGCGAGAGUAACGGCGAUGAACAACAACCUCCAUCAGCUUCUUCUUAAUGCAGCUUGACUCCGCCAUUAGUGUCAAGCUCUCAGCUUUAGAGCUUGAUCCCAUUAAAGAUAAAUGUAUAGUAUAGUUGCUUUAUCUCAAAACUUGUAUCAAAAUGUAAGCAACUUGGGAGAGCAUAUAAAGAUGUGUUUUGGGUCUCCCUGGAGAGAGAGAGAAGGUUGAUCCUGGAAACCCAUAUGUUCUCGUUGCUAGCUCCUCUGCUUUGAGAUCUUUGGAACUUCUGAGGUACCGUUGUGAGUUUGUGUUCUGGUUUUUGUUGUUGUUUGACUUAAACUGAGAUCUCUUGUGUAUGAAUGUUUACUGCUUUGUGUGAACUUUUGGGAUAUGAUGACAACAAUACGUAAUCUCUAAGGCUAAUGCUCUGCAGAUUAAAAUGUAUUUGCACGUCAGUCUGAUCCCGUUGUAGAUAACAUUAGUAGUUAAUGCACAUUCAUGUAGUUCAUCCCUUUGUUUAUUUCAUGAUAAUAAGAGUAUGGGAAGUGAUGAUAAGAUAUAUCAAUAUGUCAUAGGCACAUGCAGUGCUGAACAACAUCUUUGCACGUCAGUCUGAUCCCAUUAUGUACCCAUCAUUUUUGUUGUGUGCUUGUAGCACAAAGCUUAAUGCAUCUAAUCAGGUUAUUUAUUCCUCUUUUUUCAUAAUAAGAGUUUGGGAAAUGAUGAUAAGAUAUCAAUAUGUCAUAGGCAUAUGCAAUGCUGAAUAACAUAUUUGCACGUCAGUCUGAUCCCAUUAUAUACCCAUCAUGUUUGUUGUGGAGCAUAAAGCUUAAUGCAUGUAUUCAGGUUAUUCAUUCCUCUUUUUUUUUCUAUUUCUUUCAUGACAAGAGUGUGGAGAAUGAUGAUAAAGAUAUCGAUAUUACAUAGGCAUAUGCAAUGCUGAACCUAAUAUUUGCACGUCAGUCUGACCCCAGCUCUUGUUUCUUUGUUUUAUUUUUCUUACAAGUCAUAUUCUUCUUGUUGGUUGUGUUUGUAUACUCAGUUCUGUUGUAGAUCUCUCAGUCUCAAUUGGUUAUAUUAAGUUGAAUUCAUUAUUGGCGUAGCUUUCACGUUAAGCCCACAGUCAGAGAUGAGUUUUGGGAUUUGUAUAAGAACUGCUUCCACCAGAGAGUCCUAGAAGGAAGUCUACGUAUCUGUCUGUAUCGUCCAAAGCCACCACCAGCUCCAAAGCUUAAGAACAAUAAGAAACAUAGACGAAACCAGCAUUGAACUAACUUUGUGAGAGAAAUUCACUGUUGUGUUAAUUAGUGUUCUUUUGGCCUAAAGUAGUGCACUUAGAUUCACUCGGAAAAAAAUGAUCCUCUCAAAGUCAAAUCAAUAGAAGGAUUAUGUGUUAA